rnacentral:lncRNA from 1 species
GUAAAACACUUUAAAAUGUUGAAUUGAUCCUCAGAUUAGAAGACAUUUAUUGGUUUUUAGUUAUGACAAUGCUUAACAUGAUGCUUGGGCCUGAUGAGCUAGAAAGUAAGCUUCUGUGCUGUUUUCUAUCAAUUCUUUGAUAAUAUCUCCUUCAAAGCUGGUGAAAGCAAAACAAAGUUUUGACCAAUAUGAAAAUGAUAUCACCGAAAGAACCUUUGUGAGCAUGCUUCAAAGACUCAUAACUGCUCCCAAAGUUAUCUGAAAGAAUUUCAAGCAUGUCAAGUGG